rnacentral:rRNA from 1 species
AUUGAACGCUGGCGGCAGGCCUAACACAUGCAAGUCGAGCGGUAGCACAGAGAGCUUGCUCUCGGGUGACGAGCGGCGGACGGGUGAGUAAUGUCUGGGAAACUGCCUGAUGGAGGGGGAUAACUACUGGAAACGGUAGCUAAUACCGCAUAACGUCGCAAGACCAAAGUGGGGGACCUUCGGGCCUUAUGCCAUCAGAUGUGCCCAGAUGGGAUUAGCUAGUAGGUGGGGUAAUGGCUCACCUAGGCGACGAUCCCUAGCUGGUCUGAGAGGAUGACCAGCCACACUGGAACUGAGACACGGUCCAGACUCCUACGGGAGGCAGCAGUGGGGAAUAUUGCACAAUGGGCGCAAGCCUGAUGCAGCCAUGCCGCGUGUGUGAAGAAGGCCUUCGGGUUGUAAAGCACUUUCAGCGGGGAGGAAGGCGGUGAGGUUAAUAACCUCAUCGAUUGACGUUACCCGCAGAAGAAGCACCGGCUAACUCCGUGCCAGCAGCCGCGGUAAUACGGAGGGUGCAAGCGUUAAUCGGAAUUACUGGGCGUAAAGCGCACGCAGGCGGUCUGUCAAGUCGGAUGUGAAAUCCCCGGGCUCAACCUGGGAACUGCAUUCGAAACUGGCAGGCUAGAGUCUUGUAGAGGGGGGUAGAAUUCCAGGUGUAGCGGUGAAAUGCGUAGAGAUCUGGAGGAAUACCGGUGGCGAAGGCGGCCCCCUGGACAAAGACUGACGCUCAGGUGCGAAAGCGUGGGGAGCAAACAGGAUUAGAUACCCUGGUAGUCCACGCCGUAAACGAUGUCGAUUUGGAGGUUGUGCCCUUGAGGCGUGGCUUCCGGAGCUAACGCGUUAAAUCGACCGCCUGGGGAGUACGGCCGCAAGGUUAAAACUCAAAUGAAUUGACGGGGGCCCGCACAAGCGGUGGAGCAUGUGGUUUAAUUCGAUGCAACGCGAAGAACCUUACCUGGUCUUGACAUCCACAGAACUUUCCAGAGAUGGAUUGGUGCCUUCGGGAACUGUGAGACAGGUGCUGCAUGGCUGUCGUCAGCUCGUGUUGUGAAAUGUUGGGUUAAGUCCCGCAACGAGCGCAACCCUUAUCCUUUGUUGCCAGCGGUCCGGCCGGGAACUCAAAGGAGACUGCCAGUGAUAAACUGGAGGAAGGUGGGGAUGACGUCAAGUCAUCAUGGCCCUUACGACCAGGGCUACACACGUGCUACAAUGGCAUAUACAAAGAGAAGCGACCUCGCGAGAGCAAGCGGACCUCAUAAAGUAUGUCGUAGUCCGGAUUGGAGUCUGCAACUCGACUCCAUGAAGUCGGAAUCGCUAGUAAUCGUAGAUCAGAAUGCUACGGUGAAUACGUUCCCGGGCCU